UACGUAGGGGGCAAGCGUUGUCCGGAAUCAUUGGGCGUAAAGAGCGCGUAGGCGGCCCUGUAAGUCCGCUGUGAAAGUCAAGGGCUCAACCCUUGGAUGCCGGUGGAUACUGCAGGGCUAGAGUCCGGAAGAGGCGAGUGGAAUUCCUGGUGUAGCGGUGAAAUGCGUAGAUAUCAGGAGGAACACCAGUGGUGUAGACGGCGUUCUGGACGGUUACUGACGCUGAGAUACGAAAGCGUGGGGAGCAAACAGG
rnacentral:rRNA from 1 species